GAUGAACGCUGGCGGCGUGCCUAAUACAUGCAAGUCGAGCGAACGGACGAGAAGCUUGCUUCUCUGAUGUUAGCGGCGGACGGGUGAGUAACACGUGGAUAACCUACCUCUAUGACUGGGAUAACUUCGGGAAACCGUAGCUAAUACCGGAUAAUAUUUUGAACCGCAUGGUUCAAAAGUGAAAGACGGUCUUGCUGUCACUUAUAGAUGGAUUCGCGCUGCAUUAGCUAGUUGGUAAGGUAACGGCUUACCAAGGCAACGAUGCAUAGCCGACCUGAGAGGGUGAUCGGCCACACUGGAACUGAGACACGGUCCAGACUCCUACGGGAGGCAGCAGUGGGGAAUCUUCGGCAAUGGGCGAAAGCCUGACGGAGCAACGCCGCGUGGGUGAUGAAGGUCUUCGGAUCGUAAAACUCUGUUAUUGGGAAAGAACAUAUGUGUAAGUAACUGUGCACGUCUUGACGGUACCUAAUCAGAAAGCCACGGCUAACUACGUG
rnacentral:rRNA from 1 species